rnacentral:rRNA from 1 species
AGUGAACGCUGGCGGUAGGCUUAACACAUGCAAGUCGAACGGCAGCACAGUAAGAGCUUGCUCUUACGGGUGGCGAGUGGCGGACGGGUGAGGAAUACAUCGGAAUCUACUUUUUCGUGGGGGAUAACGUAGGGAAACUUACGCUAAUACCGCAUACGACCUACGGGUGAAAGCAGGGGAUCUUCGGACCUUGCGCGAUUGAAUGAGCCGAUGUCGGAUUAGCUAGUUGGCGGGGUAAAGGCCCACCAAGGCGACGAUCCGUAGCUGGUCUGAGAGGAUGAUCAGCCACACUGGAGCUUAGACACGGUCCAGACUCCUACGGGAGGCAGCAGUGGGGAAUAUUGGACAAUGGGCGCAAGCCUGAUCCAGCCAUACCGCGUGGGUGAAGAAGGCCUUCGGGUUGUAAAGCCCUUUUGUUGGGAAAGAAAAGCAGCAGGUUAAUACCCCGCUGUUCUGACGGUACCCAAAGAAUAAGCACCGGCUAACUUCGUG